GGAUAGUGCAUACACAUGAGUCAAGCAGCUGGGCAGCCACAGAUCCCUUGGGACUCACUGGCCCUCCUGGUUUCCCUGCUCAGCAAAGGACUGAGGAUAAUCAAGAAAGGGUACAGAUCCAAGCGCAAAGGCUCAGAUUC
rnacentral:lncRNA from 1 species